GACAGAGGGUGCAACCGUUGUUCGGAAUUACUGGGCGUAAAGCGUGUGUAGGCGGCCGCGCAAGUCGGAUGUGAAAGCCCUGGGCUCAACCCAGGAAGUGCACCCGAUACUGCAUGGCUCGAGUACUGGAGAGGUUGGUGGAAUUCUCGGUGUAGAGGUGAAAUUCGUAGAUAUCGAGAGGAACACCGGUGGCGAAGGCGGCCAACUGGACAGAUACUGACGCUGAGACACGAAAGCGUGGGGAGCAAACAGG
rnacentral:rRNA from 1 species